UCCCCGAUAGCUCAAUUGGUAGAGCGAGUGGCUGUUAACCACUAGGUUGCUGGUUCGAGUCCAGCUCGGGGAG
rnacentral:tRNA from 1 species